UCUAAUAUGGCAGAUUAGUGCAGUGAAUUUAAACUUCACAUAUAAAGAUAAAUAUCUUUUAUUAGAA
rnacentral:tRNA from 1 species